AGGCCAGACUCCUACGGGAGGCAGCAGUGGGGGAUAUUGCACAAUGGGGGAAACCCUGAUGCAGCGACGCCGCGUGGGUGAAGAAGUAUUUCGGUAUGUAAAGCCCUAUCAGCAGGGAAGAAAGAAGACGGUACCUGACUAAGAAGCCCCGGCUAACUACGUGCCAGCAGCCGCGGUAAUACGUAGGGGGCGAGCGUUAUCCGGAUUCACUGGGUGUAAAGGGAGCGUAGACGGCCGUGCAAGCCAGGAGUGAAAGCCCGGGGCCCAACCCCGGGACUGCUCUGGAAACUGCGUCGCUGGAGUACGGGAGGGGCAGGCGGAAUUCCUAGUGUAGCGGUGAAAUGCGUAGAUAUUAGGAGGAACACCAGUGGCGAAGGCGGCCUGCUGGACGAUGACUGACGUUGAGGCUCGAAAGCGUGGGGAGCAAACAGGAUUAGAUACCCUCGUAAC
rnacentral:rRNA from 1 species